GUGUCAGCAGCCGCGGUAAUACGGAGGGUGCAAGCGUUAUCCGGAUUCACUGGGUUUAAAGGGUGCGUAGGUGGAUUGGUAAGUCAGUGGUGAAAUCUCCGGGCUUAACUCGGAAACUGCCAUUGAUACUAUCAGUCUUGAAUACCGUGGAGGCCAGUAGAAUAUGUCAUGUAGCGGUGAAAUGCUUAGAUAUGACAUAGAAUACCAAUUGCGAAGGCAGCUGGCUACGCGAAUAUUGACACUCAGGCACGAAAGCGUGGGGAUCAAACAGGAUUAGAUACCCUGGUAGUCCACGCCCUAAACUAUGGAUACUCGACAUACGCGAUACACUGUGUGUGUCUGAGCGAAAGCAUUAAGUAUCCCACCUGGGAAGUACGAUCGCAAGAUUGAA
rnacentral:rRNA from 1 species